rnacentral:rRNA from 1 species
GACGAACGCUGGCGGCGUGCCUAAUACAUGCAAGUAGAACGCACAGUUUAUACCGUAGCUUGCUACACCAUAGACUGUGAGUUGCGAACGGGUGAGUAACGCGUAGGUAACCUGCCUGGUAGCGGGGGAUAACUAUUGGAAACGAUAGCUAAUACCGCAUAAUAUUUAUUAUUGCAUGAUAAUUGAUUGAAAGAUGCAACUGCAUCACUACCAGAUGGACCUGCGUUGUAUUAGCUAGUAGGUGAGGUAACGGCUCACCUAGGCGACGAUACAUAGCCGACCUGAGAGGGUGAUCGGCCACACUGGGACGGAGACACGGCCCAGACGCCUACGGGAGGCAGCAGGAGGGAAUCUUCGGCAAUGGACGAGAGUCUGACCGAGCAACGCCGAGUGAGUGAAGAAGGUUGUCGGAUCGUAAAGCUCUGUUGUAAGAGAAGAACGGGUGUGAGAGUGGAAAGUUCACACUGUGACGGUAUCUGACCAGAAAGGGACGGCUAACUACGUG